GCGAAGCUGAGCAGCACGCCGCGUGAGUGAUGAAGGUUUUCGGAUCGUAAAGCUCUGUCAGAGGGGAAGAAACUCCCGGGUGAUAAUAACGCCUGGGCCUGACGGUACCCUCAAAGGAAGCACCGGCUAACUCCGUGCCAGCAGCCGCGGUAAUACGGAGGGUGCAAGCGUUGUUCGGAAUUAUUGGGCGUAAAGCGCGUGUAGGCGGUUGGUUAAGUCUGAUGUGAAAGCCCUGGGCUCAACCCGGGAAGUGCAUUGGAAACUGGCUAACUUGAGUACGGGAGAGGGUAGUGGAAUUUCGAGUGUAGGGGUGAAAUCCGUAGAUAUUCGAAGGAACACCGGUGGCGAAGGCGGCUACCUGGACCGAUACUGACGCUGAGACGCGAAAGCGUGGGGAGCAAACAGGAUUAGAUACCCUGGUAGUCCACGCCGUAAACGAUGGGUACUAGGUGUUGCGGGUAUUGACCCCUGCAGUGCCGAAGCUAACGCAUUAAGUACCCCGCCUGGGGAGUACGGUCGCAAGACU
rnacentral:rRNA from 1 species